CGAUGUUGUGGAGUUGUUGGAUUCGAUAGUGGUGGCGGUUCUUGGAAGGUUGAAGAAAAUUAGGUGAUGAAGGAAGAAGAAGAAGAAUCUGGAAGCGGUUUGAGAGAGGGAAGAAGAAGAAUAAUCUGGAAGAGGCUUUGAGAGAGUGAAUUUGUUAUUGAAAUGGCUCACAUCGCCGGCUUUAAGAAGCUGCUAAGCUGUUGUUGAAGCUUUGGUUUUGAAAGUUACGAGCUACGUCGCGGCUUGUUGUUGGUGUGGAUUGAUGGUGUUAGAAGCAUGGUUCUGCAGGUGUAGCUUUUGUGCUCUUUGACGGCUUGGAGGUUUUGGCUUGUAGCCGGUGUUGUUGCAUUUCGCCAGCUUGGCUCAUGCUUGAUUUGCAAUUGCUUCAGGCUUGAUUUGGUACCAUUUAUGCAGCUUAUGGAAGUGUGGUUGUUGUUCUUUGUUGUAGCUUUUCCUUUUGACCUUGAUGUGUUGUUGUUUGGCUGGCUCGCGUGUGGCUUGCCGUAUUGGAAGCAUGAAGUGUUGGUUGCACCUUGUCUUUGUAGUAGCUUCGUUGGAAGCAGCUGUUGUGUAGCCGCUGCAUUGAGUUCAGUGCGUUAUAUUGCGUUUUAUUGCGUUGUUGUUGCGUUUUGGAAGUGCUUAUCAGUUGUAGCAUUCAUUUCACUUGUUUAUUGCAACUUGUUUAAUGGUUAUGUACAGCAUGUAAAGUAUAACUUGGAUAAUUAUUUUAUUUAUUUUUAUGGAUUAA